AGUUCCAGUUUUUCCGGUUCAACAGCCGGACCGGUCCCUUUUUUUUACUAUGAUAUACAGCAGUGUCCCCACCAGUCAGUAGCAGUGGCGAAGGAAGCGUAUCUCCCAUUCCCCGGAGCGCUCGAGGGCAGCGAAUCGCGAUUUCGAGUUUCCACGCGCGCCACCUGUUCGACGAAACGCCUGCCUGAGCGAGCGAUUUCGAGUUUCCACGCGCGCCAUCUGUUCGACGAAACGACUCUGCGCGCGUGCUCGGCCACCAUGGAGGGGUCGCCUGGCAAGAUCAGGCUCAGCACCCUCCCCGACGACAUCGUCUUCCGCAUCAUGUCCUUCCUGACCAUGCGCCAGGCUGUGCGGAUGUGCGUGCUGUCGCGGCGGUGGCGCAACCUCUGGCGCACCGUGCCCUGCAUCAACGCUGACAUCAGCGAGUUCAAGCGGAGAGAUACCGAGCACUAUGAUCAAGAGACGGAAUUGGCGUUCAAGAUGUUCAUGGAAAGGCUGAAUGAGCUCCGCGACCCCGCCCCCUUGAUACACACGUUUCGGUUCAGGUGCAUAUUGGAUUUGAAUGAGGAAAUCAACCAUAUCUUGGACUCGGAAGUUAUCAACGGAUGGAUUAGCCACGCUGUGCAGAAGCAGCCACUUUCUGGAUAUUGUCCUGCUGUGUGACAAAUUGGAGCUCAAUCACUCUGCAUUCAAUUGCCGCUACCUCAGAAGAAUUGACUUCACCAAUGUUAUUUUGAUGCAAGGAUUCUUCAAGCAACUCGAGAUGGGCUGUCCAGCAAUGAGAGGUCUCUUCUUAGAUGAAUGCAGCGUUGAGGAUGUUGAGAUCUCCUCCCAGACACUGAAGGUUUUGACCAUCAAGAAUACUCAUGUCUCCUAUGGCAACAAGACUACUAUUUCGACCCCCAGUGUUACUUAUCUGAAGUUGUGGAGCCCUUUGAAUGGCACAUAUGUGCUUAAUGACAUGCCAUUACUAGUGACUUCAUUACUGGUACUUUAUCAUGUGCAAGACUCUGGUGAUUUUUUCCAAAAUCUCAGGAGCCUUUCUGCUGCUAAAAGUUUGGAGUUCGAUUAUGUUGGGAGAAGAAAACAGCUGACAAUUGAAAACAAUUUGCAAUUGUACCCAAAAUUCAACAAUCUUGUCAGCCUGACUCUCGGUCAAUGGUGUCUGGAUGCAAACUUCUAUGGAUUGACGGUCUUCCUUCAGACCUCACCAAAAAUAAGCUAACUCUAAAGCUUGAAAAGGAAAAACCACAAAGAAUCAUUGGCAAACUUGAAGAUAGAUCAUUUACAUGUGAGCACCUUACGCGUGUUGAAGUCGUAUGCUCGGAGGAUGAUCCCCUGGUCGAAGACGUGGUGAACUUCUUUGUAAAUAGUGGACUGACCUCUGCUCAGGUUCAUAUCAUACGCCGGGUGUAGAUCAAGUACAUGUGAGCACCUUACGUGUGUUGAAGUCUUAUGCUCGGAGGAUGAUCCCCUGGUCAAAGACGUGGUGAACUUCUUUGUAAAUAGUGGACUGACCUCUGCUCAGGUUCAUAUCAUACGCCGGGUGUAGAUCAAGUACAUGUGAGCACCUUACGUGUGUUGAAGUCUUAUGCUCGGAGGAUGAUCCCCUGGUCAAAGACGUGGUGAACUUCUUUGUUAAUAGUGGACUGACCUCUGCUCAGGUUCAUAUCAUAACAUUUGUUGCUCCAGUUGAGUCCGAAAGCACAUAUAAACAUGUAUACUGCUCUUGUUUGGUGCUAUGAUAUGAGUAGAAACAAUCAUGUCUUAGUAGUACUAUGUAAGUGAAAGGUCUGUCACCUUGUUCUGUUGAUGUUCUAUUGUCCUAUAACCAAGACGUACUGCAAGUUGAUGCUUGAGUACUCUAUUAUUUUGCCUUUAUAUUUUCCCGACGUGAUGUUAUACACCA